GAUGAACGCUGGCGGCGUGCCUAAUACAUGCAAGUCGAGCGAACGGACGAGAAGCUUGCUUCUCUGAUGUUAGCGGCGGACGGGUGAGUAACACGUGGAUAACCUACCUAUAAGACUGGGAUAACUUCGGGAAACCGGAGCUAAUACCGGAUAAUAUUAUGAACCGCAUGGUUCAAAAGUGAAAGACGGUCUUGCUGUCACUUAUAGAUGGAUCCGCGCUGCAUUAGCUAGUUGGUAAGGUAACGGCUUACCAAGGCAACGAUGCAUAGCCGACCUGAGAGGGUGAUCGGCCACACUGGAACUGAGACACGGUCCAGACUCCUACGGGAGGCAGCAGUAGGGAAUCUUCCGCAAUGGGCGAAAGCCUGACGGAGCAACGCCGCGUGAGUGAUGAAGGUCUUCGGAUCGUAAAACUCUGUUAUAGGGAAGAACAUAUGUGUAAGUAACUGUGCACAUCUUGACGGUACCUAAUCAGAAAGCCACGGCUAACUACGUG
rnacentral:rRNA from 1 species